rnacentral:rRNA from 1 species
UGCCCUAGUAACGGCGAGUGAAGCGGCAAUAGCUCAAAUUUGAAAGCUGGCCUUCUGGUCCGCAUUGUAAUUUGUAGAGGAUGCUUUUGGGUAGCCACCGGUCUAAGUUCCUUGGAACAGGACGUCAUAGAGGGUGAGAAUCCCGUAUGUGACUGGCUUCGGCUCCCUUUGUAAAGCUCCUUCGACGAGUCGAGUUGUUUGGGAAUGCAGCUCUAAAUGGGAGGUAAAUUUCUUCUAAAGCUAAAUACCGGCGAGAGACCGAUAGCGCACAAGUAGAGUGAUCGAAAGAUGAAAAGCACUUUGGAAAGAGAGUUAAAAAGCACGUGAAAUUGUUGAAAGGGAAGCGCUUGCAAUCAGACUUGGACUUGGCUGUUCAACCGGUCUUUUGACCGGCCUAUUCAGUCUUGUCCAGGCCAGCAUCAGUUUCGGCGGCCGGAUAAAGGCCUUGGGAACGUAGCUGCCCCUUCGGGGUCAGUGUUAUAGCCCAAGGUGUAAUACGGCCAGCUGGGACUGAGGUCCGCGCUUCGGCUAGGAUGCUGGCGUAAUGGUUGUAAGCGGCCCGUCUUGAAACACGGACCAAGGAGUCUAACAUCUAUGCGAGUGUUAGGGUGUCAAACCCUUACGCGUAAUGAAAGUGAACGGAGGUGAGAACCGCAAGGUGCAUCAUCGACCGAUCCAGAUGUCUUCGGAUGGAUUUGAGUAAGAGCAUAGCUGUUGGGACCCGAAAGAUGGUGAACUAUGCCUGAAUAGGGUGAAGCCAGAGGAAACUCUGGUGGAGGCUCGCAGCGGUUCUGACGUGCAAAUCGAUCGUCAAAUUUGGGUAUAGGGGCGAAAGAC